GAUUUACUUGUGUCCCUGGCCUGUUGUGAUAAUCUUCUGAAUGUCAUCGUUGUGAAGGUUUUGUUCUUCCCAAAAACUCGUCAGAGGUUCUGUGAAGGCAAGUAGGGUUUCUUCUGAUUAAAAGUAUUUCCAGGGAUACUGGAAUGGCACAAGUUCCAGGAAGUUUGCAGUGAAGUGUCUGCUUUCACUGCUCAGAUUCAAGCCCAUUAAAGGAUUUAAGGAAAUCCAUUCAGUGCUUUGCAAUUAGAACAAAUGUGAACCAUUCCAAUGAGUUGCAGAACAGUGAGGAAGAAGAGCCUGAAAAGGUAACUAAGAGUUAACUGGCUACAUUUCAGCUGUCACCAUUGUCUUACAUCUACAGAGAGAGUGGGGAGAGCCAAGGAGAUGUAAGUACAGCAGGCCACUGGGAAAAAAAAAAACAGCAACAAAACGUUUAUAAGUAGAAAUUUCUCCUCAGAAGUCUCAGAGCAAAUCUUUCCAGUUUGUCUUGAUUUUUCU
rnacentral:lncRNA from 1 species